UACAUGUGACAUGCACUGCAAGAUGUUAUCAUGUCUUCAAUUUGUUUUCGCAUCCCUGGCCAGAAAAAUGACAAGUUAGCUAUAUCCAAACAUUUUUUAUAACCUAAAUGGCUAUGAUGGAGUUUUUGCGUAGGACUUGAGCAACAAUUUAUGGCCCUUAAAAAUAAGUUGAUUGAUACAAGAAAUUUCUUCUUUAAAUCUGUAAUAGAACUAGACACUUUCUGGACAGCUUCUGAUGCUUAUGGGCCACCCUUUCUCCAAAAGGCUUUUUAUUAAACAACUUUCGAAUUUGCUGUUUUUUCUUAUCAGUAAUAUUAAGGGAAAGCUCAACAGUACAAAUUUGUGACUCAAUAUCAAAAUCAACAUUUUCAUUAAAGUUUAUUUUUCUAGCGAAAAAGGGAAUGACAAAUUGAUAAUUUGAUCAUUUGUAAAAAUUUCUUUUGUAGUUGUUUUUGUUCCUCAAAUAAACCUAAGCCAUCAGCACCAAUUCUUGGGGGUAGUUGUUCAUUUAAGUCUAAACAGAGCUUCUCGAGAGUAAAUGUUCUAUUUUAUUAAUAGUUUUUGUUUGCAGAUCCACUAUUUCGGUCAACAUAUUUGGCUCCACUUUUGCACACAGUCAGAGUUUAAACCAAGUUUUAAAACAAUCUUGCACCAAUUCAAGAAAUAUUUCUGCGUUGUGUCCUGAAUGUUUUGCAAAAGUGUCAGUGCCCACGGAUGGUCCUGAAGCCUAAAAAAACUGGUAAAACAUUCUUUUUCACUCACGUUGGCUUUAACAUGGAAAUGAUGCACCGUCUAAACGAAAAAACUACCAAUGGAUAGAAAUAACCGUCAGGUUAAAUUAUUCAUUUUUAAAUAUUUAAAAUUCAAAAACAAGAAACCACUGAAUAGAGUUAUCGAAUUCAAUUCAAUGAUGCGUUUCACAAAAAACUGUUGGGCACAAUAGAGUUAUCCCAUAGACUCUCUUCUUCUUGAUAGAAAGCAACAAGUAAGGGGCAACCGUCCACCUACUAGUUACAUUUGCCGAUUUGUACUCCAACAUAACUAUGGAUGUUGGCGUUAAUUAAGAAUAGUGAUAAAAAUUAAGAAAAAAAAAACUACAAAGUAUGAAUUUUAACAAUUAGUUUAUGAUUUUUUUUGUUUGUAAUUUUUAUGUGUGUCCAUGGGAAUGAUCAUUGUUUAUUUAAAUAACGAACGAAAGCAAAUGUAAUUCUUCUUUUUUUAACCGUCGCUCGCUCCUACCAGAAUCCGUUGUAUUCGUCCCAAAAACCUUGAUAUCGAUCUUUUUUCGUGUGGUUCUGUUUCGUAAGUGUUUGGUGAUCGUUUUUAAGUGUUUAAGUUCUACCGAGCCCGCUGUUUUGACCGUUCACGCCGGUAUGGUGGUCGGAUGGGCCCAGAUAGUCCGGAGUGGUAGCGGGGCAAUGCCGGUUUUUUCGAUAUCAUUCAAAAUCGUUUUUUGCUAGCUGAGCAAAUAUUGGUUAUAUUUGUUUUUUGUACGUGUCAUUGACCAAAAGCGAAAAUCCUCGACGGAAGUCGGCAAUGGGCAAAUGAUCCUGGCAGUUGAGUUAUCAGGUAUCCUAUUAUCAUUAUUUUACUUGUACUUGUAAUCUUUUUUUUUGGAUUCUGUGGUGGGAGCAUUGCACACGGCGGUUUAACCUCCGUUCGCUCCCAACAGAAUCCCUUGUAUUCGUCCCAACAAGUUUGAUAUCGGUUUCCACGGUGUGGAUUUAGUGUUUUGAGUGUUCAGUGUACGUUUUAAAGUGAUAAUUGUCGUCGGCCCCGUCGUUUUUCCCUGUUCACGCCGGUAUGGAGGCCGGAUGGGCCCGGAUGGUCCGCGGUGGAAGCGGGGGGAAGCCGAUUUUUUUGGUAUCGGUCAGAAUCGUUUUUUGCUAGCUGAGCAAAUUAUUGGCUAUUUUUCUUCUUUGUACGUGGUGGUCAUUGACCAGAAGCGAAAAUCCUCGACGGAAGUCGGCAAUGGGCGAAUGAUCCUAGCAGUCGAGCCCAACAUUUUUUUGUGAAACGCAUAAUUGAAUUGAAUGAAUUGAAUCUUUUUUUUUUUUGGAUUCUGUGGUGGAACAUUGCACGCUGCGGUUUAACCUCCGUUCGUUCCCUACAUAAUCCUUUGUAAUCGUCCAAAAAUUUUGAAAUCGGUCUCCACUGAGUGGAUUUAGUGUUUUCAGUGUUUUGUGAACGUUGUAAAGUGAUAAUCGUCGCCGAUCCCUUCGUUAUUCCCCGUUCACGCCGGUAUGGAGGCCGGAUGGGCCCGGAUGGUCCGUGGCGGAAGCGGGGGGUGUCGGUUUUUUUUUUGGUAUCGGUCAAAAUUGUUUUUUGCUAGUUGAGCAAAUAUAUGUCUUCUUUGUACGUGUUGGUCCAUGACCACAAGCGAAGAUCCUCGACGGAAGUCGGCAAUGGGCGAAUGAUCCUAGCAGUCGAGCCCAACAGUUUUCUGUGAAACGCAUCAUUGAACUUGAACUUUGAAUCUUUUUUUUUUUUUUGAUUCUGUGGUGGAGCAUUACACGCGGCGGUUUAACCUCCGUUCACUCCCGACAGAAUCCUAUGUAUUCGUCCCAAAAAGUUUGAUAUCGGUUUCCACGGUGUGGAUUUAGUGUUCUGAGUGUUCAGUGUACGUCUUAAAGUGAUAAUCGUCGUCGGCCCCGUCGUUUUUCUCCGUUCACGCCGGUAUGGAGGCCGGAUGGUCCGUGGUGGAAGCGGGGGGAAGCCGAUUUUUUUUGGUAUCGGUCAGAAUCGUUUUUUGCUAGCUGAGCAAAUUAUUGGUUAUUUUUCUUCUUUGUACGUGGUGGUCAAUUGACCAGAAGCAAAAAUCCUCGACGGAAGUCGGCAAUGGGCAAAUGAUCCUAGCAGUCGUGCCCAACAUUUUUUGUUAAACGCAUAAUUGACUUGACUUGACUUAAUCUUUUUUUUUGGUGGUGGAGCAUUGCACGCGGCGGUCUAACCUCCGUCCGCUCCUAGCAGAAUCCGCUGAAUUCGUUCGAAAAACCUUUGGUAUCGGUCUUCAAUUUGUGUGACUCUGUUUCGGCAGUGUUUGGUGUUUGUUUUAAGUGUAAAAGUUCCGCCGGCCCCGUUGUUUUAACCGUUCACGCCGGUAUGGAGACCGGAUGGGCCCGGAUGGUCCGGGGUGGAAGCGGGGGGGUGUCGGUUUUUUUGGUAUCGGUCAAAAUUGUUUUUUGCUAGUUGAGCAAAUAUUGGUUAUGUCUUCUUUGUACGUGUUGGUCCAUGACCAAAAGCGAAGAUCCUCGACGGAAGUCGGCAAUGGGCGAAUGAUCCUAGCAGUCGAGCCCAACAUUUUUUUGUGAAACGCAUAAUUGAACUUGAAUUUUAAUCUUUUUUUUCUAAUUUAAAAUAUAUUUAGGUUAUAUUUGAAUAAUGUAGGUAAGAUAAGAUUUAUACUUUGAAGUUUUUAUUUUAAAGGCAGUGUCAAUAUUAAUGUUAGAUAAUUAACACGAAUGGAUUUUAAAAGUUAGGGUAAUCACAUGUUUACAAAUAAUGUAAAAGUUGAAAGAUUAUGUUAGUUAAAAUCCGUGUUUUGUUUUUUGCAAGAGCAAAAGAAUUAGCAGGUACAAAUUUGAGCUAUUUUGAAAUUCAGUCUCCCAUUUCCUAUUUGGAACUAGUGCAAACGUUAGUAAAUGAGUUUUCACUACAAGAAAUAGGAAAUAAUAUAUUGUUGGCUGUUAAUCAAGAACUGCAUAAUUUAAAUGAUAUAUUGAAUUUAAAAGACAGUGAUGAAAUUGCAAUAAUUCCGCCCAUAAGUGGAGGGUAAAAAUGGAUUUUAUUAAAUUUCCUCGUGAAAAGCUUGUAAUAGAUGAAGUAACAAAUUUAGUAGUUGCACCAUCUUGUGGAGCAAUUUCGGUAUUUAUGGGAACAACGCGAGACAACUUUGAAGGGAAAUGUGUAGUUAACCUAGAAUAUGAAGCUUAUGAAUCUAUGGCUCAGAAAGCAGUGGAAAAGAUAUGUGUGGAAUUAAGAACACAUUGGCCAAAUGUUGAAAAUAUAGCAAUAUACCAUAGGUGUGGUGCCUAUCAAAGAAGCUAGUGUAAUAAUUGCUGUAUCAUCUCCUCAUCGGAAAGAUUCCAUAGAAGCAACAGAAUGGUGCAUCAAUAAUAUCAAAAAGUCAGUUCCAAUUUGGAAAAAGGAAGUGUACUCCA